CAAAGUUAUACUCCUGUGCAAAUGAAGACUAGGCUCCUGACCAGUCUGAUUGGUUGUGGGAGGUGACUAAUCAGAGGUGCUUUCAAUUUUUUAUCUGCUAUGCAGAAAAGGGGUCGGGGAUUGCAAAGGGAGUAAACACUGGUCCUUUGGUUAUGUGGGCGUGGAAAGUUGAGGUUUUCUUUUUGAUUUAGUUCUAAGAAGUCCUAAGAAGUCAGCAUGAAUUGGCCUUAGGUUCCCUGCCUCCAGACCCUGUACUCCUGCCUUAAUUAAACUAUACAUUGAAUGGAUUUUCCUCUGGAAAAAUAUCUGACAUUAGAAAAAGACAAGCAGAAAUUGAUAUUUGAGGAAAUUUACCAAUCCCUGUAUGAUCAUUUCACUGUGAGUCCCGCUAAUUGGCAAACUGGCGGUCAUACUCUUCUCUAAAUGAGCCAACACUCCCUAGGAGACCUCAGUAGAACUCCCUCUUCUCUGCUGGAAAGGUUUUGCCUCCCCAGGACCCAUCCCUCACCAUCCAUGCAUGACAUUCUGGCCUCAAGUAUCCACUCCUCAAAGCGCAACAAAAUAACUGAAUGGAAGAUUACAUUUCCCAGUCUUUGCUUGCAGUGAGAUACAAGCAGAAGCCAUCAG
rnacentral:lncRNA from 1 species